rnacentral:snRNA from 1 species
AACGAGAUUCCCACUGUC